UACGUAGGGUGCGAGCGUUGUCCGGAAUUAUUGGGCGUAAAGAGCUCGUAGGCGGUCUGUCGCGUCGAUCGUGAAAACUUGGGGGCUUAACCCUGAGCUUGCGGUCGAUACGGGCAUGACUGGAGUUCGGCAGGGGGAGACUGGAAUUCCUGGUGUAGCGGUGAAAUGCGCAGAUAUCAGGAGGAACACCGAUGCGAAGGCAGGGUCUCUGGGCCGAUACUGACUGAGGAGCGAAAGCGUGGGG
rnacentral:rRNA from 1 species